rnacentral:rRNA from 1 species
GACGAACGCUGGCGGCGUGCUUAACACAUGCAAGUCGAACGGAAAGGCCCUGCUUUUGUGGGGUGCUCGAGUGGCGAACGGGUGAGUAACACGUGAGUAACCUGCCCUUGACUUUGGGAUAACUUCAGGAAACUGGGGCUAAUACCGGAUAGGAGCUCCUGCUGCAUGGUGGGGGUUGGAAAGUUUCGGCGGUUGGGGAUGGACUCGCGGCUUAUCAGCUUGUUGGUGGGGUAGUGGCUUACCAAGGCUUUGACGGGUAGCCGGCCUGAGAGGGUGACCGGCCACAUUGGGACUGAGAUACGGCCCAGACGCCUACGGGAGGCAGCAGGGGGGAAUAUUGCACAAUGGGCGGAAGCCUAAUGCAGCAACGCCGCGUGCGGGAUGACGGCCUUCGGGUUGUAAACCGCUUUCGCCUGUGACGAAGCGUGAGUGACGGUAAUGGGUAAAGAAGCACCGGCUAACUACGUGC